rnacentral:sRNA from 1 species
GCCAGGUGUGGUGGCGCACACCUGUAGUCCCUGCAGCUCAGGAGCCCGAGGCAGGAGGAUCACAAAUUCAAGAGCAGACUCAGAGAGGCCCUAAGCAACUCAGUGAGACCUUGUCUCAA